GUUGCUUGUCAGAUCAUAUCAUAUGUUGCCUUCAAGAGGAGGAAUUGGUGGUUAGGAUGAUAACAAUCAGGGAUUCUCUCUUCCUUUUUCUUGGAGCUUGAAUAAGGCGAGACACUCAGCUUAGUUGUGCAUGUUUAUCCGGAGGAAUGGAUGCAUCUCUUCAUGGCUGCUGGUGGUGGAGGCGGGUCAUUCGAGGAGAAAACUUCAGAGGGAAAACUGAUGCCACUCUGCUUCUCCUCCUCUUCUUUUCUCUGACUUACUCUUCUUCGAAAUUAUGGAGUUUCGUUUCUUCGAUCUUCUCUCUCGUUGGUUCGAAAUUGGUUAUUCUCUUCUCUUCUCUUCGAAAUUGGUUAUUCUCUUCUCUUCGAAAUUGGUUCUUCUCUUCUCUCUCAUUACUCUUCUGUGAUUAGCAAGGCCUUCCAACAGUACUGCUGCUAGGGUUCAUGACAAGAAGGAAGAGACCUCGAACAAAGACAACUUGAUGAAAAUCUAAAAGUUGAGUAUCUCUCUUUUAUUUUCUUACUCUGGUAAUUCUCAAAUGUUACACACAGUAGCUAGCAGCUCUGAGUAGAACACGCCCUUUCUGAACUUGCUUGCUUUGCAUCUAUCUCAGACCCAUCUCAGAACACCAGAAAAGAAGUUGCUUGAGUGUUUAUCCACUCCAAGCUGCCAAUUGGAGUAAACAUGCUCUGCUGUAGCAACAUUCGAAGAGGAGAUGCUGGUUGGAUUCAGUAGAGAAUGGCAAACAGGACAUUUGUGAUUAGAGCUAAUACCAAACCUUACCAAUCCUAGAAAUUAGGUCAGGAUAGACUUUCCAUAGUGAAAGAAUACAAGUUGUUAAGAAGGGGCAUAUUUAUCAAGUAGAGGAGUAACUUAGAAAAUUUAGAAUGAAAUGAAAAUCCUAAAUAACUUGUAGAGUUAAUCUUGUUUGUUCCAUUGUUAUGGAAAAAAUCCUAAAUUGAUCCACCUAUAUUUUAGUGCCACUCAGAAAAUCUUGAUUCAGGUCUUGGUUGUGCUUCCCGCAUACUGCAGGACAGUGUUAAAAGACUUCUGCUUCAAUGCUAAUACAAUGCUUUGCAACUGGAAGAGUUACACCAUGCCUUUUUCUACCUGGAUUAAGAUUUCGAAAGUGGAGUCUAGAUCUAGGAUUGUCUUCUUGGAAUUUCAAUAUUGCAGUCUGGAAUUUUCGGGGGAUAUAAUUUACUAACAGAAUUUAGAAGGAUGUGUGAUUGGCCUGGUGGCUAGACCUCUCAUAGGCCCAGUGGGUGAACAGAUGGUUGACAUAUUUCAUAUUUAGGUUAAACAGUUAAAUGAUCCAUCUCCGUUGAUUUUCUUUUCCUGGUUGUAAUCAUCACUGUAACUCCUAUUACAUACAUAGUAUAAUGUUGGAUACAAUGUGACUUAAUAGACAAUAAUGUUCAUUUAAGACCUAGGGCGUGUUCGGCGGUAGCGUUUGAGGUAGCGGGUAGCGUUUUGACCUAGUCAAGACGCUACUUGUAAAAUUUGUAAGUGUUUGGUAAAGUAGCGAUUUAGGUAGCGGUUAGCGGUUGAGGUAGCGGUUGGGUAGCUUUUGUCAAACGUUAAAAUUAGUAGCGUUUAAGGUAGCGGGUAGCGUUUGACAAAUUUAUAAUAAAGUUUUAAAUAAUAUUCUUGCUUUUAUUUUUAUUUUUAUAAUAUCCACCGCUACUUUUACCGAACACUCAUAUUAGUUACCGCUACUUUGACAGCUAACCGCUACCCGCUACUAUUCACCGCUCCUCGCUACUUUAACCGCUACCCGCUACUCAACCGCUAACCGCUACCCGCUACCGCUAAUAUUGCCGAACAGGGCCCUAGAGAUAAGUCAGAUAACAAAUGUGGCUGCAACAAAGUCUAGAAACAAAAGUGGUUCUGAAAGGAAAGAAUGAAGCGUGUAUUACAUGUUAAAAUCUGGAGCUCCUAAGUAUUAUUAUAAUCUUGUUUACUUGGUAUGACUGAAGUCCGAAUAUAUUGUUGAUGGAUUUACAAAUUGAAUACAUUGAUAUUCUAGCUUGUUAGACACGGGUAGCUAUGUAAUGUUCAGGAUAUGAUUUCAGGGGAUGUUGGCUGAUGGACAAGCAGUGGCCGUUAAGAGGCUUUUGAAUGUAUCAGGACAAGGAAUUCAGGAGUUUGAGAACAAGGUCUACUUAGCUGCCAAGCUUCAACAAUAUCUUGUAUAACUUUUUGGAUUCUUCUUGGAAAGAGAUGAGAUGUUGCUAUAUCUACGAGUUUGAGCGUAACAAGAUCCUUGACCGGUUUCUAUUUGAUGCAAAACACGGAGCAGUGUUGAAGACUUGAAGUGGGAAACCCGUUACAAGAUCACAUUGGGAAUUGCACGAGGUAUUUUAUACCUUCGUGAAAAUUCAUGUGGUGCAGGCCCAAGUGAUGCAGACAAAGUGGUGCAAACCCAUGCAACCAGCUCUUAACAAUAUUCAUCUUCAAAUCACUCGCAAAUGAAACACGUACGGAUGAUGAUGGUGAUUGUUAUAACAAUAUUGAAUUGAGUUCUUUUCGAGGUCUUUUUCAUGCAUUUGAGAAGGAUCACAAGAUGGACCCAACAUCAAGCGGAUGAGGUGUUUAUAAGUUCAAGACGUAUCUAUUGCAUAGCUAGACUUGGAAAGAUCUUACCUCAUGCAGACAUCUAUUCAUGUCAAAUAAAGAUUCUAACGGGUAAAUCUUACGUCAGCUGACGUGGGAGCAGACGUGGGAGCAGACGUUGGAGCAUCAAAUUCCAGUCAACCGAGUCUGAAGCAGACACCUGAAGGUCGCGGCAGACUGCUUAUAAUGUUGGGUUUGCUUAUGGAAGUUCACUCAGAGCUGACGGCAGACUAGCCGAAGCCAACACAUGCCCUCAUGAUUCCUACUACUCUAGAACUAAAAUGGCAGGAUUGGUGUUGUAAUUGCUGAGAGAGCUGAAGUAUUUGCAGUCAUAUUCCUACUACUCUAGAACUAAAAAGGCAGAUUCAAAUUACUCUUAUUAUUAAGCAUUUUGAUGCAUGUUUGAUCCAGUUCUCUGCAACAAGUGCUGAAACCUGAAUACGCAAACAUUUGGUAAUAAUGCGUAGACUAGAAUCUUAUGUAAAUGUAGUGACGAGUAAUGUAUAAGUUGCUUUUUAAAGCAACACGAAAAUUCACAAUCCUUUAUGUUUUUAGCAAAGAUUUUUAGCAUCUUCCCGAGACUUUAGUUUAAAUUGUCAUGUACAAUUGUUCUUAUUACUACAUUUUUCAUCCAUUACAUAUUUACAUACA